GACGAACGCUGGCGGCGUGCCUAAUACAUGCAAGUAGAACGCACAGUUUAUACCGUAGCUUGCUACACCAUAGACUGUGAGUUGCGAACGGGUGAGUAACGCGUAGGUAACCUGCCUGGUAGCGGGGGAUAACUAUUGGAAACGAUAGCUAAUACCGCAUAAUAUUAAUUAUUGCAUGAUAAUUAAUUGAAAGGUGCAAUUGCACCACUACCAGAUGGACCUGCGUUGUAUUAGCUAGUAGGUGAGGUAACGGCUCACCUAGGCGACGAUACAUAGCCGACCUGGAGGGGUGCUCGGCCCCGCUGGGACUUGGACCCGGCCCAAGCUCCUAGGGGGGGCGGCAGUAGGGCAUCUUCGGCAAUGGCCGCAAGUCUGACCGCGCCACGCCGCGUGAGUGCAGAAGGUUUUCGGGUCGUAAAGCUCUGUUGUAAGGGAAGAACGGGUGUGAGAGUGGAAAGUUCGCACUGUGCCGGUAUCUUACCAGAAAGGGCCGGCUAACUACGUG
rnacentral:rRNA from 1 species